rnacentral:misc_RNA from 1 species
UUGCGGUAGCCCAGCGGUGCA